GCAAACUUGGUCAUUUAGAGGAAGUAAAAGUCGUAACAAGGUUUCCGUAGGUGAACCUGCGGAAGGAUCAUUAUCGAGUUUGAUGUUUCGGCAUCAUCUCCCACCCAAUGUGUACCUUUCUUGUUGCUUUGGCCAGUCGACCUUUGGGUCCUUCGGCUUUACGCUGGAGAGUUGCUGGCCAGAGAAUUUUAAAACUCUGUUCAACUUUGAAAUCUGAGUCAAAACAAAAAUAAAUCAAAACUUUCAACAACGGAUCUCUUGGUUCUGGCAUCGAUGAAGAACGCAGC
rnacentral:misc_RNA from 1 species